UAGAAAACAGUUACACGUAUGUUUGCUAAAAAAGGAAUUGGUUAUAAAAUUCCAAUGUUCGAAACGUGUGUGUACGAAGAAGGAGAGAAGGAGCGGCCAGUGAGAGAAGAGCCACAAGCCAGCCAACAUGUCUUCACGAGAAGGUGGAAAGAAGAAGCCGCUGAAGGCGCCCAAGAAGAAGAACGCGGACAUGGACGACGAUGAUAAGGCUUUUAUGGAAAAGAAAAAAGAGGAGGACAAAAAGAUGAAGGAGCUGCAGGCACGUGCAGCUAAAGGUGGUCCACUAGCAAGUGGUGGUAUCAAAAAGAGUGGAAAGAAGUAACUACGGCCACAUCUCACUAGAUAACGCACUUGACCCCCACCAUUAUUUCAUUGUAACACUUCAUGAGGCAUUUGUUUCAUAAAAUAAAAAUGAUAUAAAAAAAGUA